rnacentral:lncRNA from 1 species
GCUUGCUGUCUUCUUCGGGAGAAGCACCGGGUUAAUGUUGGGCAGAACCCCUCCAUGGGCGAUGGUCACACCAGCGAGAAGCUUGCCCAGCUCCUCGUCGUUCCUCACCGCCAGAAGCACGUGCCUCGGGAUGAUCCGAUUCUUCUUGUUGUCCCGCGCCGCGUUCCCAGCCAACUCCAGAACCUAUGGAUCCCACAUCGCAAACGGAACAAAAUGUCAGGCCACUCCAGAUCUACAAUCGUAUGAAGAGUGAACCGCAAAAUGCACAAGGAAUUACCUCAGCGGCGAGGUACUCGAGGACGGCGGCGAGGUAGACGGGGGCGCCGGUGCCGACGCGCUGGGAGUAGCGGCCCUUCUUGAGGUAACGACCGAUCCGGCCGACCGGGAACUGAAGGCCAGCCUUAACGGACCGGGAUACCGGCUUCUUCUUCGGGCCGCCGCCCCUCCGGCCGCCUGCGCCCUUCUUAACCUUUCCCCCG